rnacentral:rRNA from 1 species
AGUCGAACGAGCGAGAGGGAGCUUGCUUUCUCGAGCGAGUGGCGAACGGGUGAGUAACGCGUGAGGAACCUGCCUCAAAGAGGGGGACAACAGUUGGAAACGACUGCUAAUACCGCAUAAGCCCACGGGUCGGCAUCGACCAGAGGGAAAAGGAGCAAUCCGCUUUGAGAUGGCCUCGCGUCCGAUUAGCUAGUUGGUGAGGUAACGGCCCACCAAGGCAACGAUCGGUAGCCGGACUGAGAGGUUGAACGGCCACAUUGGGACUGAGACACGGCCCAGACUCCUACGGGAGGCAGCAGUGGGGAAUAUUGCACAAUGGGGGAAACCCUGAUGCAGCGACGCCGCGUGGAGGAAGAAGGUCUUCGGAUUGUAAACUCCUGUUGUUGAGGAAGAUAAUGACGGUACUCAACAAGGAAGUGACGGCUAACUACGUGCCAGCAGCCGCGGUAAAACGUAGGUCACAAGCGUUGUCCGGAAUUACUGGGUGUAAAGGGAGCGCAGGCGGGAAGACAAGUUGGAAGUGAAAUCCAUGGGCUCAACCCAUGAACUGCUUUCAAAACUGUUUUUCUUGAGUAGUGCAGAGGUAGGCGGAAUUCCCGGUGUAGCGGUGGAAUGCGUAGAUAUCGGGAGGAA